UCUUUUUGAAAAAUAAUUUAAAGUCUAAUCUGCCCACUGAAAAUUUUUAAAGGGCUGCAGUAUAUUGACUGUACAAAGGUAGCAUAAUCAAUAGUCUUUUAAUUGGAGACUUGUAUGAAUGAUUUGAUGAAAUAUAAACUGUCUCUUUAUUAUGUAUUAGAAUUUAAUUUUUUAGUCAAAAAGCUAAAAUAGAUAUAAAAGACGAGAAGACCCUAUAGAGUUUUAUUUUUAUUUAUAUUUAAAAUAUUUAUAAAAUUUAUAUUUUAAAUAUAAAUAAAAAUUUUGUUGGGGUGAUAGAAAAAUUAAAGAAACUUUUUUUAAAUAUUAAACAUAAAUAAAUGAUUUUUUGAUCCAUAAUUUAUGAUUAUAAGAAUAAAUUACCUUAGGGAUAACAGCGUAAUUUUUUUUUUUAGUUCUUAUAAAAAAAAGAGUUUGCGACCUCGAUGUUGGAUUAAGAUAAAAUUUAAAUGCAAAAGUUUAAAAUUUUGAUCUGUUCGAUCAUUAAAAUCUUACAUGAUCUGAG
rnacentral:rRNA from 1 species